UUGAGUUCCAGUCCUGACUUCCUUUGGUGAUCAACAGCAGUGUGGAAGUGAAAUCAAGGACUUUGGUAUCUACAAUUUUGAAAAGAGUGACAUAUUUUCCCGGAGUCAAGCCAACCAUCACUAUUUUAGAAACACACUGGCAUGUCAAAUUCUCUCUAGCAAUAACACAUCACCUUGGGAAUUGGACAUUGCAUAAAAUAUCACAUAUGUGUCAGCUUGAGAUAUAAUCCUAUCAUGACAGUCAGGCUAUCUAGCACUAGUCACGGUACCCGGUACCUUCAUGCAAGGACAAAGAACUCUGUAUAGAACUUCUUGCCCUAAGAAGAUCUCAAUGGAAGGAAAGUCAAGAAUAAACUUCUCUGGUAACCACAGUUUCAAAAGACGAUUAUACAGAAGAGAAAUUAAUUUGAUCAGCCAUCGAAGUGAGCAUGAUCCUAGCCUGGCUCAGUAUCAACGUUGGAUACACCAGCCCCUAUCUGGGUUUGCUAAAUAUCUGUACUCUUAGCAUAAGAGAAAUUGAGUCAGGAGAACUACCAAGUGUUUGAAGCUGAAUUGUGAAUUUCAGGCCAUCUUGUUAUACAAUAUCAGAUUAUGUCUCAAAAAGCAAAGCAACACAGAACUAAACAAGCAAACAACAUAAACAUUUUAAGAAAAUUUUUAAAAAUUGUGUGUUUCAGUCAAUUGAGUCUCCUGCCAUACCUAUAUGCCUGUACAAAUUUUGUACAAAUAUUGAAAUAGAGGAUCUUCAUUCCUUCAAUGGUGAUAUAUUUGAUCCAAUGAUGUUAGUUUGUAGGCUACUGAAGGACCUUCCUGGGGUUGAAUGGGUAGGUUCAGCCUUUGGACAAAGAACAAGUUGUGAUUAUCUUAUAAAUAAAUAUACAACGUCUUCUGG